UACAGGAGGUGCCGAGCGUUUAGGCGGAAUCACUGGGCUUAAAGCGUGUGUAGGCGGAUGCCUAAGUACCUUGUGAAAUCCCACGGCUUAACCGUGGAACUGCUCGGUAUACUGGGUGUCUUGAGCCACUUAGGGGUUACCGGAACAAAUGGUGGAGCGGUGAAAUGCGUAGAUAUCAUUUGGAACGCCAAUGGUGAAAACAGGUAACUGGGAGUGUGCUGACGCUGAGACACGAAAGCCAGGGGAGCGAACGGGG
rnacentral:rRNA from 1 species